rnacentral:rRNA from 1 species
GAUGAACGCUGGCGGCGUGCCUAAUACAUGCAAGUCGAGCGAACAGACGAGGAGCUUGCUCCUCUGACGUUAGCGGCGGACGGGUGAGUAACACGUGGAUAACCUACCUAUAAGACUGGGAUAACUUCGGGAAACCGGAGCUAAUACCGGAUAAUAUAUUGAACCGCAUGGUUCAAUAGUGAAAGACGGUUUUGCUGUCACUUAUAGAUGGAUCCGCGCCGCAUUAGCUAGUUGGUAAGGUAACGGCUUACCAAGGCAACGAUGCGUAGCCGACCUGAGAGGGUGAUCGGCCACACUGGAACUGAGACACGGUCCAGACUCCUACGGGAGGCAGCAGUAGGGAAUCUUCCGCAAUGGGCGAAAGCCUGACGGAGCAACGCCGCGUGAGUGAAGAAGGUCUUCGGGUCGUAAAACUCUGUUAUUAGGGAAGAAAAAAUGUGGAAGAAACUAUGCACGUCUUGACGGAACCUAAUCAGAAAGCCACGGCUAACUACGUG